rnacentral:misc_RNA from 1 species
AACGCACAUUGCGCCCGCCAGUAUUCUGGCGGGCAUGCCUGUUCGAGCGUCAUUUCAACCCUCAAGCCCCAGCGCUUGGUGUUGGGGAACGGCCUCCCCCCGGGAAGAGCACCUCGGUGCCUCCCCGGGCGCCGCCCCCGAAAUGAAUUGGCGGUCUCGUCGCGGCCUCCUCUGCGUAGUAGCACAACCUCGCAUACGGAGCGCGACGCGGCCACUGCCGUAAAACGCACAAACUUUUUUUAGAGUUGACCUCGAAUCAGGUAGGAAUACCCGCUGAACUUAA